rnacentral:snRNA from 1 species
CUGCUUGCUUCAGCAACACAUAUACUAAAUUGGAGCAUUACAGAGAAGAUUAGCAUGGCCUCUGCACAAAGAUGAUCUGCAAAUUCAUAAAGCAUUUCAUAUGAAA